rnacentral:snRNA from 1 species
UACCUUGCGCAGUGGCAAGAUCGUAACCAAUGAAGAUCUCCUGAGGUGCGAUUAUUGCUACUUGGGAAAAAAAUGUUGUAGGAUACUUUCGCUUAGGGAUGAUCUAGUCUUUAAGAAAUACGUUCCUUUUCGUAAAAA